rnacentral:rRNA from 1 species
AGAGUUUGAUCCUGGCUCAGGAUGAACGCUGGCGGCGUGCCUAACACAUGCAAGUCGAACGCGAAAGGGGAGCAAUCCCUGAGUAGAGUGGCAAACGGGUGAGUAACACGUGGGUGACCUGCCUUCGAGUGGGGGAUAACGUCCCGAAAGGGACGCUAAUACCGCAUAACAUCCUGCUUUUGAACAGGCGGAGAUCAAAGCCGGGGAUCGCAAGACCUGGCGUUUGAAGAGGGGCCCGCGUCCGAUUAGCUGGUUGGUGGGGUAAUGGCCCACCAAGGCGACGAUCGGUAGCCGGCCUGAGAGGGCGGACGGCCACACUGGGACUGAGACACGGCCCAGACUCCUACGGGAGGCAGCAGUGGGGAAUUGUUCGCAAUGGGCGCAAGCCUGACGACGCAACGCCGCGUGGAGGACGAAGAUCUUCGGGUCGUAAACUCCUUUUCUGGGGGAUGAAGGCUAACGAGAGUUAGCUUGACAGUACCCCAGGAAUAAGUCUCGGCUAACUACGUGCCAGCAGCCGCGGUAAAACGUAGGAGGCAAGCGUUAUCCGGAAUUACUGGGCGUAAAGCGCAUGCAGGCGGCAGGCAAAGUCGGACGUGAAAGCUCCUGGCUCAACUAGGAGAGGCCGUUCGAUACUAGCCAGCUAGAGGGUGAUAGAGGCGAGUGGAAUUCCCGGUGUAGUGGUGAAAUGCGUAGAUAUCGGGAGGAACACCAGAGGCGAAGGCGGCUCGCUGGGUCACACCUGACGCUAAGAUGCGAAAGCCAGGGGAGAGAACGGGAUUAGAAACCCCGGUAUUCCUGGCCGUAAACGAUGUCAACUAGGCGUAGGCGGUUAAUAAUCCGUCUGUGCUGCAGCCAACGCGAUAAGUUGACCGCCUGGGGAGUACGGCCGCAAGGCUAAAACUCAAAGGAAUUGACGGGGACCCGCACAAGCAGCGGAGCAUGUGGUUUAAUUCGACGCAACGCGAAGAACCUUACCUGGGCUUGACAUGUUCCUGACCGUCCUGGAAACAGGGCUUCCCUUCGGGGCAGGAUCACAGGUGGUGCAUGGCUGUCGUCAGCUCGUGUCGUGAGAUGUUGGGUUAAGUCCCGCAACGAGCGCAACCCCCGUCGCAUGUUGCCAGCAUUUAGUUGGGGACUCAUGCGAGACUGCCGGUGACAAACCGGAGGAAGGUGGGGAUGACGUCAAGUCAUCAUGCCCCUUAUGUCCAGGGCUACACACGUGCUACAUUGGCGCAUACAAAGGGCUGCGAUACCGCAAGGUGGAGCGAAUCCCUUAAAGUGCGUCUCGGUUCGGAUUGCAGGCUGAAACUCGCCUGCAUGAAGGCGGAGUUGCUAGUAAU